rnacentral:rRNA from 1 species
AUUGAACGCUGGCGGCAUGCCUUACACAUGCAAGUCGAACGGCAGCACGGGAGCAAUCCUGGUGGCGAGUGGCGAACGGGUGAGUAAAGUAUCGGAACGUGCCCAGUCGUGGGGGAUAACGUAGCGAAAGUUACGCUAAUACCGCAUACGAUCUAUGGAUGAAAGCGGGGGAUCGCAAGACCUCGCGCGAUUGGAGCGGCCGAUAUCAGGUUAGGUAUUUGGUGGGGUAAAGGCUCACCAAGCAGACGAUCUGUAGCUGGGCUGAGAGGACGACCAGCCACACUGGGACUGAGACACGGCCCAGACGCCUACGGGAGGCAGCAGUGGGGAAUUUUGGACAAUGGGCGAAAGCCUGAUCCAGCCAUGCCGCGUGCAGGAUGAAGGCCUUCGGGUUGUAAACUGCUUUUGUACGGAACGAAAAGGUUUGGGCUAAUAAGCUGAGCUCAUGACGGUACCGUAAGAAUAAGCACCGGCUAACUACGUGCCAGCCGCCGCGGUAA